UUUUUUGUAAUGCCCCAGUUUGACUGUUUUGCUGAUUCUCAUGAUACAGCUGAAUGAGCUCCUUUGGUGCUCAAGAAGGCGGGUAAUCUCAUCAGGAAUCCCCUUCAACAUCAUCUUCCUCUGCCCCAGAUACAAGGACUUCAAGAUUGGGAGAUGGCGUUGGAUCAUUAUGUUCAAUGGGUUUAGAAAUCCCUGCAUAAU
rnacentral:lncRNA from 1 species